GAAGGUAUAGCUCAGUGGUACAGCACAUGCUUAGUAUGCAUGAGGUCCUGGGUUCAAUCCCCAGUACCUCCU
rnacentral:tRNA from 1 species